GUGUGUGUGUGUGUGUGUGUGUGUGUAUAUAUGUAUAUGUGUGUAUAUGUGUGUAUAUAUAUAUAUAUAUAUAUAUAUAUAUAUAUAUACGUAUAUAUAUAUUCACAGACACACACACUCACACUCAC